rnacentral:rRNA from 1 species
CGAAGGGGGCUAGCGUUGUCGGAAUUACUGGGCGUAAAGCGCGUGUAGGCGGUUGCCCAAGUCGGGUGUGAAAGCCUUGAGCUCAACUCAAGAAUGCACUCGGUACUGGGUGACUAGAGGACCGGAGAGGAUAGUGGAAUUCCCAGUGUAGUGGUGAAAUACGUAGAGAUUGGGAAGAACACCAGUGGCGAAGGCGGCUAUCUGGACGGUUUCUGACGCUAAGACGCGAAAGCGUGGGGAGCAAACAGGAUUAGAUACCCUGGUAGUCCACGCCGUAAACGAUGGGUGCUAGACGUUGGCGAGCUUGCUCGUCAGUGUCGCAGCUAACGCGUUAAGCACCCCGCCUGGGGAGUACGGCCGCAAGGUUG